rnacentral:rRNA from 1 species
GGAGUUAGCCGGUGCUUCUUCUGUGAGUGAUGUCCUUCCUGCCGGCUAUUAACCCGCAGGCCUUCUUCCUCACUGAAAGUGCUUUACAACCCGAAGGCCUUCUUCACACACGCGGCAUGGCUGGAUCAGGGUUGCCCCCAUUGUCCAAUAUUCCCCACUGCUGCCUCCCGUAGGAGUCUGGGCCGUGUCUCAGUCCCAGUGUGGCUGAUCAUCCUCUCAGACCAGCUACGGAUCGUCGCCUUGGUGAGCCGUUACCUCACCAACCAGCUAAUCCGACAUAGGCUCAUCCGAUAGCGCGAGGCCCGAAGGUCCCCCGCUUUCCCCCGUAGGGCGUAUGCGGUAUUAGCCUGGGUUUCCCCAGGUUAUCCCCCACUACCGGGCAGAUUCCUAUGCAUUACUCACCCGUCCGCCGCUCGCCACCAGGGAGCAAGCUCCCCGUGCUGCCGCUCGACUUGCAUGUGUUAGGCCUGCCGCCAGCGUUCAAUCUGAGCAGANACGACCUCGA